CCUACGGGAGGCAGCAGUGAGGAAUAUUGGUCAAUGGACGAGAGUCUGAACCAGCCAAGUAGCGUGAAGGAUGACUGCCCUAUGGGUUGUAAACUUCUUUUAUAUGGGAAUAAAGUGAGGAACGUGUUCCUUUUUGUAUGUACCAUAUGAAUAAGCAUCGGCUAACUCCGUGCCAGCAGCCGCGGUAAUACGGAGGAUGCGAGCGUUAUCCGGAUUUAUUGGGUUUAAAGGGUGCGUAGGUGGUUAAUUAAGUCAGCGGUAAAAUUUCGGGGCUCAACCCCGUCGUGCCGUUGAAACUGGCGUUCUUGAGUGAGCGAGAAGUAUGCGGAAUGCGUGGUGUAGCGGUGAAAUGCAUAGAUAUCACGCAGAACUCCGAUUGCGAAGGCAGCAUACCGGCGCUCAACUGACGCUCAUGCACGAAAGCGUGGGUAUCGAACAGGAUUAGAUACCCGAGUAGUC
rnacentral:rRNA from 1 species